UACGGAGGAUGCGAGCGUUAUCCGGAUUUAUUGGGUUUAAAGGGUGCGUAGGCGGACUGUUAAGUCAGCGGUAAAAGCCCGGGGCUCAACCCCGGCGAGCCGUUGAAACUGGCUGUCUUGAGAUGUCGAGAGGUAUGCGGAAUGCGCGGUGUAGCGGUGAAAUGCAUAGAUAUCGCGCAGAACUCCGAUUGCGAAGGCAGCAUGCCGGCUCCACACUGACGCUGAGGCACGAAAGCGUGGGGAGCAAAUAGG
rnacentral:rRNA from 1 species